UCUUCGCCCACUUGGGAUCCCCCGCCGCCGCCGUCCGGGCUGCUCGCGGCGGUGCUCCAAGCGCCUCGAGCGUCGCCGCCGCGGGAGCGUGGAGCUUUUUUUGCGCGGAAAAAACACGCUUUUGGGGAAGAAGGGUGAGGAAAAAUAACACCCCGCGGAGGGAGAUUUUGUUAUUUUUUGCUGUUAUGAGUCCCUGACGUCACAUCCACCUGCUGGAUCUCCAGAAAAAAGGAAUCCGAGGUCCUCCUCUUCUCCACCCCCAAAAGCAAACAAACAAAACAGACGGGGGGGGGGGGAGAAGAGUGAAAGGGAAGGAAUUCAAAAGUGCAAAUGCUGCGCGAGCCAAUUUCCUCUUCUCCCCUCUGCUUUCUCUCUCUCUGUGUGUGUCGGGCGGCGUGCGCUCUCUCUCUCUCUCUCUCUCUCUCUCUCUCCCCUUUCUCCCCCACACUUGCCCCUUGCACUUUACCCAAUGAAAAGAGGAGAGUUCGGGAGGUGAAAGUUCAUUAGAAGGACAAACGCAUGUGUGCAAAGAAACAAGACACGUCCACCAUCUCUUUUUAAAGGCUCGCCUGCCCGCUGGCCCUUGUUGCGUGUUUGUUCUAGAGGUGAAGAAAGUCUCUUCGAUUGCAAGGAAUUUCGGCAUUCAACCCACGGGCUUGCUUUAAAAAAAAAAAAAAAAAAAAGGGCUCCCGGAGAACAGAACAACAAAACUUCCUCCUGGUUUUGGUUUUUGAGAGUGGUGGGUGGGUAUCGAUAUGCCUUCCCUGCUUUCUUCCUAUAAAGUUGACCACAGGUUAGCAUGUCCAGUGUGGUUUUAACCUAAGUUACCUGCUUCUGUAUCCAUUCUGAAAUAAAAGUUUGGAGUACAAGAAUACUCCAGAAAAAAGUUUGUUUUCUUUCUGGUAAGAUUGGUUUCCAUCAGCAGGAGAUAAAGGGAAGAAACUUUUUUUCCUUCUUCAAACAUCAAAUUCUCUUAACAAAUUUGUAAAGUUUAACUCUUCAUGAGAAGAAGCCCUAAAAGGCGGAAGGGGUAACCAUUUCUCCACAUUUGUCCCUUGCUUAGAUGAGCUGGAUAAAGAGUCCCUUCUAGGAACAGACAAGAUAGGCAUUUUGCAAACACUCUUGAAUGCAAUGCGUUUCCUAAUGUAAUACAUUGCAUUGUAUUAAUUGUACCACUGAGGCCUUUAUUCUCCUAACUUAGCCUAUUGGCAAUCUUUUACAGGCUGAAAAAACACAAUUUCAAUAUUUUUUCUAAUAUAUAUGAGUAAUCAGCUCUUCAAAGCCAUUUCUGAAAGUAUCCAAGCUAGUCCUGUAAUACAGAAUCAUAGUCCAUUAUAUUUAUAGAUAAGUAAAUCAGGGAACAGAAAAGGUUAUGUUACCUGUGUCAAGUUCACACAAUGAGUCAGUGGUAAAGCUGCAAGUAAUAUUCAAAGCUGCUUCCGUUUCUCAGACCUGUGGUUUAACCACUAAACAAUGCACCAUACUUGACAUGCAUAAUCUAAAGACUUAUUCGCUCAUUUUAUACUAUUAAUAAGUAUGGGCUCUGAAUGGAUCCCUAAUAAAACACUUUCAUAGCCUCAAUAAUCUAUUCUUACACCUAUCUUAUAAGGAGUUUUAUAAAUAUUUAUGCACAUUUUAACCCAUGACAGGUAAGUAUUAGAGUGAAAUACUGGCUCCAUUAUAUGCAAGUUUUUAAAAGGCCUACACCUUAACCUUGCACAUAUAAACCUUUCAUACACAAUUAUUUUUGCCUGGUCCUUGGUUUUGCAUAUGUGACUUAAUUAUAUGCCCCUUUGCCUAUCAAAGGGAUCCCAGUUACCAAAAUUACUUGUCUUACAUUUUAAACCUAUUUUAUUUAUUUUUGCCUGGUUUUAAAAUUUCCACUGGGAAUUUACAGCGUUUAAGCAUUUUCACAAAUGCUUAAUUUUGAAUGAAUGUUGAACAAAGAAUAGAAGAUAGAUAACUUUGAACUUAGUAAAUGUGCAUAUUAGACCAUAACCAGUUAUAAAUACAUGGCUUUGCAAAUGAUCCCUGUCUAAAUAUAUUACUAGCAAUAUUAGUAUAAUAGUCUACUUGGGAAAAAUACAAUUUUAAAAUAACUUAAAGCAUAUUUCAAAUUAAACUAGGUAUCUGUUUAUCUUUUGGGGAAAUGAUAAAAAUAAAACACAUUUAGUAUUUGGGUUAAAAUAAAUUGUGGUCUGAAUUGUAUUCUACUCCAAUCUUAAUUUUUUGUAAAUUGUCAUGUAUUUUUGGAUUCCAUGUAAUGACAGAAACCACCUGUACUGAUCUUGGAAAAUACCUCAUUCUCUAGAAAAUAUUUGUUUGCUUGCUUGCUUGUUUAUUUAAUUUAUAUGCUGUCUGUCUUGCCAAAAGCAACUCUUAUAGGCACUGGGAACUAUAUAGGACCCAAACGUCCUCCAUAUCUCAAUAUUUAUUGAUUAACCCUUGGGACAUAUCAAAGUGCAGAGUUCCAGAAACAAAUUAUUACUAAAAUUUGAUAAAAGCAAUUUAAAAUGGAAUUGAAUUAAAUACAAACAUCCUCCAUAUAAAAUAUUCAGCAUUAAUUCUUAAACUGGAAAAAUGUUAGUGGAUCCAUGUACCGGUAUGUCUCUAAAUUAGGCCUUUGAUCCAAUUGUGUACUGGCCUAACUAAUUAUUGAAAGGAUGGAAUAAUGAAACAAGUACAUACUGGCUUUCCUGAAUGUAAUAGACAUUUUUCAUUCUAUUAAUAUUACUACUAAGUUCCAUGUUUCUUUUGUAUGAUGUCAAAUGAGAUAAAUAGGCAUGUUGAUUUCUUACAUUGAUUAAUACACUAUAUAUAAAACAUUGAAUUUAGAUUUGCGUUGUAAAGCACACUACAAUUUUACAUUUGUCUUGCAACAACAAAGGUUACCUCCUAAAAUUUGAUGACAUUUCCAGAUCUAAUUAAUAGCUAUCAGAAUGCUUUAUUAGUUGCAAGAUGCAUAUGUGUCACAUGAGAGUCUUUCUAACACUAAAAUGCAGCGAUUCUAUGCACCAGAUUAUGCUGUUUAAAUCAUUUUUCUCCUUUGAUUAAUAUAAUCAAAUAUAGAUUUACUAUUACACCGCUGUAAAUUUCAUAGGUUAAAGAAUUUAUUGUAUGAACUGAAAAAUAAAUACUUUGCAUUUUCAUUCCAAAAUGCUCAGAUUAGUUUUAAUACUAUGAUGAGUGUUGUAAAAGGAAUUGAUAUACAUGUCCAAUGGAUUACAGUUAAAACAAACAGUUCAUAUUCAGUCUGAAAGGAUAUUGUAGAAUUUAAAUAUUACUUUAGUCAUUUCAGUUAUGAGGUUCAGUUUUAUUGUUGAAAGCAAAAGUUUUUGGGGGAAAAUAUUGUCAUAGUAUUUUUGCCUUGUAUAAGGAAAAUCAAUGGAUAUAAGGAUGCUAAAAGUUUCUAUCAGGCUCCCGGUUUCAUUUUUAAUUUAUUUUUUUUAAAAUUUCAUUUAUUGCUUCAUAUUUUCUUAAAUUACUAUAGAUAUAUACAUUGAAAAAUAAGUCCACAUGAAUUCAAAUGCAUUUACUGAUAAAUCAGUUUAGUAGUGCAAAUUUGAUAGUAGAAUAUUUGUAUUUUGGAAUAAGAAAUACCAUAAAAUAAUAAGUCUUUUUAAUGUUGCAAUAUGAGGUGUUACAUUCCAGUAUCUGUUCAACAAAAAUGAUGAAGGUUUGCAUGUCCAUUUGGUAGAUAUUAAUGGGGAUCUUAACUGCAGCUUAACAUAUUGUUCAUUUUCAACACUGUCACGUUGCACUCAUAUAGAGCACAUUUUAAUUUCUUGAUCAGUAAUCAAAUGGAAGUUUCUUUUGGCAAAUUAAAACGGGAAGGAUUUUUGUGUGGAAGAAAGGAUAUGGGAAUAUGACGCCACCUUUUGGUGAUAAAAGUAAAUACUACAGAUUUGAAUUC